GAACUUAAGCAUAUCAAUAAGCGGAGGAAAAGAAACUAACAAGGAUUCCCCUAGUAACUGCGAGUGAAGCGGGAAAAGCUCAAAUUUAAAAUCUGGCGGUCCCUGUGGUCGUCCGAGUUGUAAUUUAGAGAAGCGUUAUCCGCGCUGGACCGUACACAAGUCUCCUGGAAUGGAGCGUCAUAGAGGGUGAGAAUCCCGUCUUUGGUACGGACUGCCAGGGCAUUGUGAUGCGCUCUCAAAGAGUCGAGUUGUUUGGGAAUGCAGCUCAAAAUGGGUGGUAAAUUCCAUCUAAAGCUAAAUAUUGAGGAGAGACCGAUAGCGAACAAGUACCGUGAGGGAAAGAUGAAAAGAACUUUGGAAAGAGAGUUAAACAGUACGUGAAAUUGCUGAAAGGGAAACGCUUGAAGUCAGUCGCGUCGUCCAGGACUCAGCCUUGCUUUUGCUUGGUGUACUUCUUGUUCGACGGGUCAACAUCAAUUUUGGUCGGUGGAUAAAGGCUUGGAGAAUGUGGCAUCCUCGGAUGUGUUAUAGCUCUAGGUCGCAUACAUCGGCUGGGAUUGAGGAACUCAGCACGCCGCAAGGCCGGGUACUUGUACCACGUACGUGCUUAGGAUGUUGGCAUAAUGGCUUUAAUCGACCCGUCUUGAAACACGGACCAAGGAGUCUAACAUGCCUGCGAGUGUUUGGGUGGAAAACCCGAGCGCGUAAUGAAAGUGAAAGUUGAGAUCCCUGUCGUGGGGAGCAUCGACGCCCGGAGCAGACCUUUUGUGACGCAUCCGCGGUAGAGCAUGUAUGUUGGGACCCGAAA
rnacentral:rRNA from 1 species